UACGGGGGGUGCGAGCGUUGUCCGGAAUCAUUGGGCGUAAAGGGCGCGUAGGUGGCCCGGUCAGUUCGUGGUGAAAGCGCGGGGCUCAACCCUGCGUCGGCCAUGAAUACUGCCGCGGCUGGAGCACUGUAGAGGCAGGCGGAAUUCCGGGUGUAGCGGUGGAAUGCGUAGAGAUCCGGAAGAACACCGGUGGCGAAGGCGGCCUGCUGGGCAGUUGCUGACACUGAGGCGCGACAGCGUGGGGAGCAAACAGG
rnacentral:rRNA from 1 species